rnacentral:rRNA from 1 species
UACGGAGGGUGCAAGCGUUAUCCGAAUUCACUGGGUUUAAAGGGUGCGUAGGUGGGUUGAUAAGUCAGUGGUGAAAUCCCCGAGCUUAACUUGGGAACUGCCAUUGAUACUAUUGAUCUUGAAUACCGUGGAGGUCAGCGGAAUAUGUCAUGUAGCGGUGAAAUGCUUAGAUAUGACAUAGAACACCAAUUGCGAAGGCAGCUGGCUACGCGAAUAUUGACACUGAUGCACGAAAGCGUGGGGAUCAAACAGG